GCGUGAGAAUUUGCCUCUAGGAGGGGGACAACAACUAGAAAUGGUUGCUAAUACCCCAUAUGCUUUCGAGUGAAAUGGAUUUUUCCGCCUAGAGAGAAGCUUGCGGCUGAUUAGCUUGUUGGUGAGGUAAUGGCUCACCAAGGCGACGAUCAGUAUCUGGUUUGAGAGGACGAUCAGACACACUGGAACUGAGACACGGUCCAGACUCCUACGGGAGGCAGCAGUGGGGAAUUUUCCGCAAUGGGCGAAAGCCUGACGGAGCAAUACUGCGUGAGGGAUGACGGCCUAUGGGUUGUAAACCUCUUUUAUCAGGGAGGAAUCAAUGACGUGUACCUGAUGAAUAAGCAUCGGCUAACUCCGUGCCAGCAGCCGCGGUAAGACGGAGGAUGCAAGUGUUAUCCGGAAUCACUGGGCGUAAAGCGUCUGUAGGUGGUCCAAUAAGUCAACUGUUAAAUCUUGAGGCUCAACCUCAAAACCGCAGUCGAAACUAUUAGACUAGAGUAUAGUAGGGGUAAAGGGAAUUUCCAGUGGAGCGGUGAAAUGCGUAGAGAUUGGAAAGAACACCGAUGGCGAAGGCACUUUACUGGGCUAUUACUAACACUCAGAGACGAAAGCUAGGGUAGCAAAUGGGA
rnacentral:rRNA from 1 species